UAUAACCCUAAAUAUAAGCUUCAGCCGACGGCUCCAUCUUCACCAUCGCCAAUCUCCCAGCUCCUCGCUGUCGCCUCCAUCUUCACCGUCGACCCAGCCGCGCCCACGCCCAGUUCCCCGUCGACCCAGCCGCUCUCCAACAGAUCUGAAGCCACAGGCGACGCCGCCGAACCGCCCUUCCUCCGCUGGCGCUGCCUCACUCGCGACCGCCAAACGCCACCGCCACCACCCCGGAGCUGCCUCACUCGCCGGAGCUGCCUUCCUUCACCAGCUGCUACGAUAGCUGUUUAAAGAAGGAAGAAUGGCAUUAGUUCCUGAAUCUGAGCAUCUUGGGAAGAUUUCCCUUCUGAAGGUGAGCCUACACUGGUAAAGCUAAACCAGUCACAACUUUUGAAAGGGUUUAGAUUCAACUAACCUAGUAGAUCAGGAGGAACCAGAGAACUAAACUGCUAACCAUAUAUGUCUUCAGCCUUGGGGUGAACUAUGGAGAGUAGAAAACAGUAAGCAAAUGAUGAUUGUAACUGCUACAGCUAUGAUGCUAAAAAAAGCUGGGAUAUCUGUUGCAGCUACAGCAGGAGUAUAUUUAUUGCAAUUAUUGGCAGGUUUAAUCUAUGUGGAAGUUUACAUGAAGAGGAUAAAGGAAGGUCUCAUUGUUGCCAACUUCUGUAAAUUGUAAUUUCAUUCUUCUCUUUUGUAGCUUUCAAUUAUUUUUUAAUUUAGAACUGUAAAUUUGUAAUUUCAUUCAAGUAUUUUAAUUUUAAUUUUUGAGAA